GACGAACGCUGGCGGCGUGCUUAACAUAUGCAAGUCGAACGGAAAGGCCCUUCGGGGUACUCGAGUGGCGAACGGGUGAGUAACACGUGGGUGAUCUGCCCUGCACUUUGGGAUAAGCCUGGGAAACUGGGUCUAAUACCGAAUAGGACCACGGCCUUCAUGGGUUGUGGUGGAAAGCUUUUGCGGUGUGUGAUGGGCCCGCGGCCUAUCAGCUUGUUGGUGGGGUAAUGGCCUACCAAGGCGACGACGGGUAGCCGGCCUGAGAGGGUGACCGGCCACACUGGGACUGAGAUACGGCCCAGACUCCUACGGGAGGCAGCAGUGGGGAAUAUUGCACAAUGGGCGCAAGCCUGAUGCAGCGACGCCGCGUGAGGGAUGACGGCCUUCGGGUUGUAAACCUCUUUCAGCAGGGACGAAGCGCAAGUGACGGUACCUGUAGAAGAAGGACCGGCCAACUACGUGCCAGCAGCCGCGGUAAAAC
rnacentral:rRNA from 1 species